CUGAGAACUGUUCUGUAGUUUAGGUAGUUUCAUGUUGUUGGGGCUCCACCUUUCUCUCUGCAGCACGAAACUGCCUUAAUUACUUCAGUUGAAAUCAUC
ensembl:miRNA